rnacentral:tmRNA from 1 species
UCGCUUGCAAUAAUGUUCCUAAAACUGUUAUAAUAUAGAUGUUACCUCGUGUAACUAUGGUGAUAAACGCUAUAUGUAAUAGAUGUUAUGGACCCGGGGGCGGUACCCGGCACCUCCACCACUUAAGAAGACGGCGAUUUGGGGUUAUAGCCCUGAAAUUAAUGUCUGACCCGAAUGUUUUUUACUUUUGGGGGUGAAAUAGGAUCGACAUGCGUUGAAAGAUAUGGUUUUUGCUCGGCAUUGUACCACCGUUAUCGGACAGUAUAAAUAUAAAUGCAAAACGUAAAAACGCAUUUAAUGGUGUUCUUAUUGCCGCUAACGAUAAUUUCGUUAACGACAACCGUAUCGUAGCCGCUACUGCAGCAGCUGCCUAAGGUUAGAACAUCCUUGCGGUUCGAGGGGCACCGGGCAACAGAAGCCCCUCACU